GACGUAGGGCGCGAGCGUUGUCCGGAUUUAUUGGGCGUAAAGAGCUCGUAGGCGGCUUGUCGCGUCGACUGUGAAAUCCCGCGGCUCAACUGCGGGUCUGCAGUCGAUACGGGCAGGCUAGAGUUCGGUAGGGGAGACUGGAAUUCCUGGUGUAGCGGUGAAAUGCGCAGAUAUCAGGAGGAACACCGAUGGCGAAGGCAGGUCUCUGGGCCGAUACUGACGCUGAGGUGCGAAAGCGUGGGGAGCAAACAGG
rnacentral:rRNA from 1 species